UAAGAAGGGGGUUAGCGUUGCUCGGAAUCACUGGGCGUAAAGCGCACGUAGGCGGGUUGCUAAGUCAGGGGUGAAAUCCUGGAGCUCAACUCCAGAACUGCCUUUGAUACUGGCGACCUUGAGUCCGGGAGAGGUGAGUGGAACUGCGAGUGUAGAGGUGAAAUUCGUAGAUAUUCGCAAGAACACCAGUGGCGAAGGCGGCUCACUGGCCCGGUACUGACGCUGAGGUGCGAAAGCGUGGGGAGCAAACAGG
rnacentral:rRNA from 1 species